UACGUAGGGGGCAAGCGUUGUCCGGAUUUAUUGGGCGUAAAGAGCGUGUAGGCGGCCAGACAGGUCCGUUGUGAAAACUAGAGGCUUAACCUCUAGACGUCGAUGGAAACCGUCUGGCUAGAGUCCGGAAGAGGAGAAUGGAAUUCCUGGUGUAGCGGUGGAAAUGCGCAGAUAUCAGGAAGAACACCCGUGGCUAAGGCGGUUCUCUAGUACGGUACUGGACGCUGAGACGCGAAAGCGUGGGGAGCGAACAGG
rnacentral:rRNA from 1 species